rnacentral:lncRNA from 1 species
CCGAAGAGUGAGAAGGUGUCUUUCUCGAAUAUAACUUUUCCUAUUAUGUUGCUUGAAUGACGGAAGUCAUCAGAGACCUAGAACUACGAUAUGAAUUCUGCAUGAGUUCCUGUUCUUGUGCCGUGCGUGUAACGUUUCUUGAUGCCCGUCCAACUUCAGGAUUUCACUGAUACCUCAGUUCAAGAAAAAUUGCACUUUCCCUAACUCGAUUAUGUUAGGAUUUGUGGAUAUCGACGAGCUCACCGCCCCGAUAACUUUGGCAUUAAUUCUGCAAGGGACUUUCAUGGACACGUUCAACGACAUUCCCAACGACUCAUGCUUAAGAAAUCUUCUUCUUUAGGAUUUGUGCUUUUUGAGUUAUCCAUGAUACUGUUGUUUCUCCUGCUGGAACUCCGUGGAAUUGUUGUAUAAGUCCUCUAGAAGGCACUGAUUUCUGCCAAUAGUUUUGAGUGUCAUGUAGCUGGGUCAGGUCCAGGAUAUGUGCGGGCCGGCAGCAAUGGCCUUCGAGAGGGAGGAUGCGACCGUAGUUGGCACAGAAGAUUUGGCGAGAUUGGAGGAUUUGUGGGCCAAACUGCCGGAGGAGGUGCAGUAUAUGAUAUUUAGACACCUUCGUUGGAGGACGCUCUUUCCAAUUUGUGUCGUUUGCAAGAGUUUCAACGACUCGAUCAAUCGUUACAUCAGAGAUCUGCCGUUAUUUCGCACUGCCGUAGCCAUCUCAAGCAACUGAAGACUGUGUUGGCCGCAAUCUUUUCUUACACGGUGGAGCAUCACUGUGUCUGCAACAGAUUAUGGAUUGACACCCGAAUGAACUUUGCUGGACAGGUGAGGUCUUCAAAUCGAUUUCUAUCUUCGUGGUCCUUUCAGUUCUAGUCGCAUAUUAGAAUUCUUUCAUUGUCGAGAUCUAAUCGUGUCUGACUCAAAGAUUCCGCAACAAAGUUUUCGGACCUCAUGCGAGAUCGUCUUUAUAGAUGAUUUGCCAACGAACUCUCCGCAGGAUAUCCAGCUUAGGGUACCGUGCAGUUUCGCUUUGCGAUUUACGCCCAAUUUUGAAGUCUAACCACAAAAGACGAUGAUAUGCGCCGUUGAUAUGUUUCUCGUUGACUCCUCAGUGGCAAAUAUUACAACUGCGCAGCUAACCCGUGCAACAGGGCUGCAUCGUCACUGUUAGCGCUGCUCAGAAGUAGUGUUACACAAUCAUAUUGAUAUUGAAUGAAGGAUUUACCUUCUAAUUUGUCGAGUUCUAUCGACUGCAUCUUAUUGUGGCUCGCAGGCGGAGAGAUGGCCUAAUGCGUAAUUUGCACUGCUCUUGCCAGCAUAUCUGGUCAAUAACCUAACAUGAAACCACUCUUCAGAAGCGUCGCCAUCGCUGAUUUGACGCUGACUGCAUCGGAGAUUAUGUGUUCGAGCUGUGAGUACCACCUGCUGUGUAAGUCUUACAUAAGUUACGUUAGAUACAGUUGCAGUUACUGCAAACUUCUACUUAUGGGAGUAGAAUAUAAUAAGCUUUAUAUGAUAGGCUGAGAUGGAUAAGGGUAUACAUCAUUGCUGACAUCUUUCUAGAACCUCUAAGAUUGCAAUGUGUGAUUUCUUGUUGGAUCAGCUACGUCCAUAGAAUGAACUCGUUCCUUAAGAAAAUAAAGAAACUCAUCAGCAAUAACAGCUUCUUGUGCUUUAAGUGAGUUUUCUGGAACCAGUGACUAUGUUUUAGCACACAGCUUCUGAUUCUAGAUUCAACACACGACAGUGAUAGGAAACAUUUCUGGUCACUGCUGCGAGCCCCGGCAUUACCACUGUGCUCGAACGUUGCGUCUUCUCAUUAUUUUCAAAAAAUAGAAGUAUGGUUGUGACUUUGCGUUCGACAAUUUGCAGCCCUAGCCUUGAAAAUUGACUCACGCAGUAAAAUUUGAACUUAAAGAUAAACUUGAGAGCAAGGUGCAGGUAACACCGCAAUCAUAGCAUUAAUUCCAGUGAAAGUGGACAAAGAUUCAAGGGAAGGCAAUUAUGU